ensembl:snoRNA small nucleolar RNA SNORA53
AACACGCUCCUUAGAUCCACCUCUGGAGGGCGCUGUGCCCUCGGCAGCUUUUGUGGCUGUACAGUUGGAGGUGCUUGAGUCAUUGGCGUGUGAGAACAGUCCACCUGUCCUCCCAGCCCACAUGCAGCACUGGCAACCCUGUUGAACAGACAGGGAGACCCCAGUGCUGCUAGUCUGGGGGACGGACAUU